rnacentral:rRNA from 1 species
AACGAACGCUGGCGGCAGGCCUAACACAUGCAAGUCGAGCGCCCCGCAAGGGGAGCGGCGGACGGGUGCGUAACGCGUGGGAAUAUGCCCUUUGCUACGGAAUAGUCUCGGGAAACUGGGGGUAAUACCGUAUACGCCCUUUGGGGGAAAGAUUUAUCGGCGAAGGAUUAGCCCGCGUUGGAUUAGGUAGUUGGUGGGGUAAUGGCCUACCAAGCCGACGAUCCAUAGCUGGUUUGAGAGGAUGAUCAGCCACACUGGGACUGAGACACGGCCCAGACUCCUACGGGAGGCAGCAGUGGGGAAUCUUAGACAAUGGGGGCAACCCUGAUCUAGCCAUGCCGCGUGAGUGAUGAAGGCCUUAGGGUUGUAAAGCUCUUUCAGCUGGGAAGAUAAUGACGGUACCAGCAGAAGAAGCCCCGGCUAACUCCGU